UCGCGCCCAGCCGCCGAGGCGGGCGGGCGUGCGACCCCGCCACACUGCUGAAAAAGGGGCGCGCGCGCGCGCCCGCCCUCCCGCACGGCUGCCCGGCGCCUUCCCGUCCCCGGCUCCCGACGGGCGCUUUUCCCGCCGUCCUCUCGGCACUUGGCCCGGAGGCGUCGGGGUCGGCGGGCUCAGAGGUAAGGAAGCAGAGGCAAAGAAAUCCAACAGCUCCAAGUCCUGAGGGUGGCGUGUGGAAUGUCUUCUAAUAGGUGAUGGUGACGUUAGAGCUGUUCAACACACACUCUUGGACGGCCUCACCUCUACGCGCUGAUAGUUCCACCUCCCGAAAUAUCUCCAUCCUUCACCUUGGAAUGUUUAGAUUCCCAUUUGUGAAAACUUUUACCAUCUUUUCAGUCAGAGGCUUUCUUGAAUCACAUGGCAACGUUCAUCAUAGUCUCUGCCAUACAGAACGUGCUGGAAAGUGGAGUGUAUGACAGAACCAAAAGGAGGCGGGGCUGACCUCCAAACCGUGAGUUUGCUUGACAUUUGCCAGAGGGAAAUGAAGGAAAUAAAGAAAA